rnacentral:lncRNA from 1 species
UUUCUUGUCUUAAGAUUUUAGCUAUGUUUGAUGUCAAUUGCAAGUUCAAGCAGCUGCUAACUCAUAUUUAUUUUUAAGUAUUGGCUGAAUAAUCUAGGAAAGAAUUAUAGUUUUAUUUUUACUUUCUCAAUAUGAUCCCAUGUAAUGGAAACUUAAACACUAGUCGACAUUCCGGAAUUUCAUUGUUGGUUUUCAUUGUUUUGGGGAUAUUUACUCGGCUCUAGAUGAGAUUUCAAUAGAUUGUACCAAUGAGUGUUGCUUCUUAAUAUGAACUCCCUGAGUGAAGGUUAGGCAUGACACUGCCUUUGUGUCUUACUAAAUGGUCUAAUUCUGUUUCUUUGCCAAAACAAAUUAAUGACUUCCUUUUCAUAUGUGUAAAAGAUAGAGGGAAGGGAAAUAAAUAUGAAACUAGAU